rnacentral:rRNA from 1 species
AUCCUGGCUCAGGACGAACGCUGGCGGCGUGCCUAAUACAUGCAAGUAGAACGCUGAAGGAGGAGCUUGCUUCUCUGGAUGAGUUGCGAACGGGUGAGUAACGCGUAGGUAACCUGCCUGGUAGCGGGGGAUAACUAUUGGAAACGAUAGCUAAUACCGCAUAAUAGUAGAUGUUGCAUGGCAUUUGCUUAAAAGGUGCAAUUGCAUCACUACCAGAUGGACCUGCGUUGUAUUAGCUAGUUGGUGGGGUAACGGCUCACCAAGGCGACGAUACAUAGCCGACCUGAGAGGGUGAUCGGCCACACUGGGACUGAGACACGGCCCAGACUCCUACGGGAGGCAGCAGUAGGGAAUCUUCGGCAAUGGACGGAAGUCUGACCGAGCAACGCCGCGUGAGUGAAGAAGGUUUUCAGAUCGUAAAGCUCUGUUGUAAGAGAAGAACGAGUGUGAGAGUGGAAAGUUCACACUGUGACGGUAUCUUACCAGAAAGGGACGGCUAACUACGUGCCAGCAGCCGCGGUAA